GGGCGCGUAGCUCAGCUGGCUAGAGCACCUCCCUUACAAGGAGGGGGUCGGCGGUUCAAGUCCGUCCGCGCCCACCA
rnacentral:tRNA from 1 species